rnacentral:lncRNA from 1 species
UGAAGUUACGGUGUACAUUUGGUUGGAAGACUAUUUGAAAGGUUCUGGUGAAGUUCGGUGAAGUUCGGGAGCAUUCGGGCGUUUCGGUGCGCGUAGGCGCUAAAACGGAACCCGGGAGGCUAAGUGGGCCGUGAGUUAAAUCCGGCAUUAGCGAGGAUGGAAAGAUGAUGAAAACAUGUUUGGAAACAUGUUUGGAGAGUCUCGGUUCGAUUUGAGACGAAUCGGAGGUCAAACGAGCAAAAACGGACGAAAACGGGCGAAAAUGCUGAAAAUUUGGCUGUCCUUGAGGCUGAGUUCUAGACCUUCGGGGACCGGUCUCUUAGCCAAGGACCGGUCUCUCAGGGACCGGUCUCUCACCGCAAGGACCGGUCCCCGAGCGCGAAAAUGGCCCCCCGCGGGGGCAAUGUAAUAAAGUGAAAGUUGAGGGGCCUAAUUGCACUUUGGGCAUUAUGAGAGUGUAUAGAGAGGGUUCUUUCUCUCUUUCUCUCAUUUCCCUCACUCCAACACCACCUCUCUCUCUCUCUAAACGUGAAGAAGAAGAAGAAGAAAGAGGAGAAGAGAAGGAAGGAAAAGGAGGGAAAAGGAGAGGAGAAGAAGAGGAUCCUCACCACCAUCAUCACCUUCUUCUUCCUCUCACCAUUAGAGUAAGCUUAGCAAGGUAAGCUUCAAACCCUACAAUGGUAGAUAUCUAGGGUUUGAUCCUAAUGCUCUAGAAAUGGUUUGAUUAGUGUUCUAGCAAGCUUAAUAGAUGUUUAAUGCUUGAAUCUAGAGUUCGUAUGGUGGUUUUUGCUUAGAUGCAAACCUAGGGCUCCGAAAUGGCGUUUUGAUAUAUAUGAGGGUUUGAUCUCUUUUAACCCUCUGUAAACCUAAUUGGUAGGUCUACAAACGCAACGGUGCGCUCGGUUCGGCGAUCCGACGAGUGUACGCGGAGAUAUUGAGGAUCGAAGCCGUUAAGGUACAGAUUGCCGCAGCUCACGGCGAAAGCUUCCAAAAAUCAUGAAAAUGGAAUUGUAGCAUCGUGGUGUCGGGGAAUAAACUCCAGAACAGACGGAUCGCGGAUAGGAGGUCAUUUGGCAGUCGCGCGUGAGUUGGGUCGAGCCGUGCGGCGUGCGCCGCAGGAGGCCGAUUGCGAGUGACGACGAGCAAUCGGAACGCUAUAAAAGGUGGGUGGUGUCCAUCCCAAAGCAAUCGGGCUCCCUUUUAUGUCUAAGUUUAUAUUGAUCAAAUUGCAUAUUGACAUCUUGCAUUAUAGGGUGAUAAAUGAUGGUUUGGUCCUAUACCUUGCAUGUUCUUUGGUAGAAUAAUGUAUUUGGCUUAGUACUUAUAUCUAGCAUGCUUGAGGUUUAUAUAUGUGAUGUGGAACCCUAUAAUGAGAUGAUAAGUGUGGAUGGGAAUUUAGUNGAUGAUCGUGGUAAGGGCGUAGCGCCCUAGCUAGCUAGUAGAGCUUUCCUAUUGUACUAGAGCACCCUCGUGUGCAUGGUUAUAGAUGACAUGAUGUAUUUUGGAUAGCUAGCAUUAUAUAUGUAAGGUAUCGGACUUCUAAAAUCAUGAAGUUACGGUGUACAUUUGGUUGGAAGACUAUUUGAAAGGUUCUGGUGAAGUUCGGUGAAGUUCGGGAGCAUUCGGGCGUUUCGGUGCGCGUAGGCGCUAAAACGGAACCCGGGAGGCUAAGUGGGCCGUGAGUUAAAUCCGGCAUUAGCGAGGAUGGAAAGAUGAUGAAAACAUGUUUGGAAACAUGUUUGGAGAGUCUCGGUUCGAUUUGAGACGAAUCGGAGGUCAAACGAGCAAAAACGGACGAAAACGGGCGAAAAUGCUGAAAAUU